rnacentral:tRNA from 1 species
UAUUUAUUAGUUUAAAUUAAAACAUUAUAUUUUCAAUAUAAAAAUAAUUAUUAUUUAUAAAUAA